UCUGCGGUGUACCGCGGGU
rnacentral:snRNA from 1 species